AUGCUGUUCUCUUUCUGGAAUAUCCCCUUCUGCUUUAUUUUAACUGGUUCAUUCUCCAAAACGCAGCAACUUGAGAGCAGGAGUGGUUUCUUGUCCUCUCCGUAUCUCGUCUGUCAUGGCACCCACCACCGAGGAGCUGUUCAACAGAUGUCUACUGAAUGGAAACGCGAGUGGGCAGGCAGUUCCUGUGUGCCUGGGGCCCCGGCAGCGUGCUUGGUGUACAAGCCUUUUUCUCAGAUCUCAAGGAUAGAGGCUCUGCCAUUUCCCAUCAGACCAACAUUUGGUGACCACGGCAUCUUACUUCUUGGUCCAAGUCCCCACGGUUCCCCCAGUCUGCUCCUACCAAUUAUGACAAUGAUCUCCAGCAUUCCUUCUGCACCUUUAUUGUAAAGCAUUUUUAUACCUGUCACAUCUUGCUAGAUGACUGAAAAGGAAUGAGCCUUCCCAUUUCCUAGGUGAGAAAACUGAGGUUCAGAAUGACUCACCUAAAGUCGUUUGGUAUCGCUUACCAACAGGAAGACAGUAGUCCCCAUCAGAGGCUCACACGCCCAUGGAGUCAAGUGGACAUGGUUCUUCUUCUUCUUUUUUUUUUUAGAUUGUAUUUAUUUAUUUUGAGAGAAAGAGAGAAUGAGUGAGGGGGGAGGGGUAGAGGGAGAGGAAGAAGCAGACUCCCCGCUGAGCAGGGAGCCUGAUGAGGGGCUUGAUCCCAAGACCCUGGGAUUAUGACCUGAGCCAAAGGCAGCUGCGUAGCCGACUGAGCCACCCAGGCGCCUGGCCCAGUGGACAUGUUUCUAACCGACUGGCAAGCAGAAGAGCUGCAUCACGGAACAAAAACCUCUGGUAUACCUGACAGACCUGGGUUCUGAUCUGAGACCUGGCGACAAAACUACCACCGGUCAGGAACAAAUACAAAGUACUAUAGUUGAGAAAGAGUAGGUCAGUUUGGGGAGCUAAUCUUUGAGUCCAGGCGGAAUAGAGAUUAAGAACUCUCUGGAGGCGGAGACUUAUUUUGCCUUAGUGCACCUGGUGCCUAGCACAGGUCGGGUUCUUCAUAAAUGUUGACUUGGGUGUGGGAUGUGGUAGGAAGGGGGCAGAAGAGGAAACUUGAGUGAGUUUAGAAUCGAGACUCCGAGGGGGAGACAGCCUAGAAAGUGUGGGUCCAAGAGAGAGACUCCAGGCAUUUGUGGCCCUGGUUCCUUUCCUCCAAAGCCGCGAGGACAUCCUCCAGAGGCCCAGGGUGCUGUGGCUUUAAAUGACUUCAGCGUGUCAAUGAAUCUGCUCAGCUAAAAGAGUUAUCCUCUUGCUCCUGCGCUUGGCCUCCCCCUCCUCGCAGCUCCCCAAACCCUUCUCGGCCGCUGUGAUGGGAUAAUUAGAUGCGAGAGCUCAGCAC
rnacentral:lncRNA from 1 species